rnacentral:other from 1 species
GAAACGCCCGUCCCAAAGGGCGGGCGUGGAUUGAAAC